UUUCCGUAGGUGAACCUGCGGAAGGAUCAUUAUUGAAACUUGAAUCGUAGCAUUGAGAACUGUUGCUGACCUGCUAAAGGGUAUGUGCACGUUCGACGUGUUGCGUUCUAUUCAUCCACCUGUGCACCUUAGUAGACUUGAUUAACUUUCGCUCUCGAGCGGUUAGAAGGGUUGCUUUCGAGCUCCCUUUGUCUAUCAACUCUAUGUCUAUAUAAUCUCUUGUAUGUCUAGAAUGUCUUGUUUAUGGGACGCAAGUCCUUUAAAUCUUAUACAACUUUCAACAACGGAUCUCUUGGCUCUC
rnacentral:misc_RNA from 1 species